rnacentral:rRNA from 1 species
UGGCUCAGGAUGAACGCUGGCGGCGUGCCUAACACAUGCAAGUCGAGCGAUUACUUCGGUAAAGAGCGGCGGACGGGUGAGUAACGCGUGGGUAACCUGCCUCAUACACAUGGAUAACAUACCGAAAGGUAUGCUAAUACAGGAUAAUAUAAGAGAUUCACAUGGAUUUCUUAUCAAAGCUCCGGCGGUAUGAGAUGGACCCGCGUCUGAUUAGCUAGUUGGUAAGGUAAUGGCUUACCAAGGCGACGAUCAGUAGCCGACCUGAGAGGGUGAUCGGCCACAUUGGAACUGAGACACGGUCCAAACUCCUACGGGAGGCAGCAGUGGGGAAUAUUGCACAAUGGGCGAAAGCCUGAUGCCAGCAACGCCGCGUGAGUGAUGAAGGCCUUCGGGUCGUAAAACUCUGUCCUCAAGGAAGAUAAUGACGGUACUUGAGGAGGAAGCCCCGGCUAACUACGUGCCAGCAGCCGC